CCUACGGGGUGCAGCAGUGGGGAAUAUUGGGCAAUGGGCGCAACCCUGACCCAGCAACGCCGCGUGAAGGAAGAAGGCUUUCGGGUUGUAAACUUCUUUUGUCAGGGACGAAACAAGUGACGGUACCUGACUAAUAAGCCACGGCUAACUACGUGCCAGCAGCCGCGGUAAUACGUAGGUGGCAAGCGUUAUCCGGAUUUAUUGGGUGUAAAGGGAGUGUAGGCGGGAAUGCAAGUGAGAUGUGAAAACCAUAGGCUUAACCUGUAGACUGCAUUUGAAACUGUAUAGCUUGAGUACUGGAGAGGAAAGCGGAAUUCCGUGUGUAGCGGUGAAAUGCGUAGAUAUACGGAGGAACACCAGUGGCGAAGGCGGAUUGCUGGACUGAAACUGACGCUGAGGCGCGAAAGCGUGGGGAGCGAACAGGAUUAGAUACCCGUGUAGUC
rnacentral:rRNA from 1 species